rnacentral:misc_RNA from 1 species
AACGCACCUUGCGCUCUUUGGUAUUCCGAAGAGCAUGCCUGUUUGAGUGUCAUGAAAAUAUCAACCUUGACUUGGGUUUUGUGCUGCGCUUUUACGAGCGGCUCACCUUAAAUGUAUUAGCUGGAUCUGUCUUUGAGACUUGGUUUGACUUGGCGUAAUAAGUAUUUCGCUAAGGACAUUCUUCGGAGUGGCCUCGUUUCUAGGACGCUUGUCCGCUUCCCAAUACAAGUUCCACCUCGUGGACAUGACUUUUUUAUUAUCUGGCCUCAAAUCAGGUAGGACUACCCGCUGAACUUAA